CAGAUGCAGACGAAUCCAAAGAUGUUAUAAACUCUGUCGUUGGGCUCAAACACUGUGGAAAGAACAGAGGGCUCGAAGAACCAGAGGAAGAUCCGGUUUAUAUUAAUGUGAAGACAGCAAACACAGGGGGGUCAUGUUUUCCAGCAACUACAGUUUAUUCUGAAGUCAGAUUUCAAACAAUUGUUUAUAAUGAUGCUGCAAUGUAGGCUGCAUCACUGUGGUGGUUUAUUCUACAACUAGCAGUUAUAACACAUAAAAUAAUAAAUAAACCAUCCUCACAUCUUUGAUGAGUGUAAAGUCAACAUAUUUGAAGAAGUUCCUCUUUGGACAACAUUGAUUUCAUUGUUUAUAUCAAAAUGUUUUCUUUUUUUACAUAAUAUUCACUUUAAUUUGACAUGAAGUGUUUUAUAUUUUUACUUUUUCAUAUCAGCUGCAUCGUUGUAAUGUUUGCCUCACUGUGCUCAACAUGUAACAACAUUAAAACAAGUUAAACCUCAUACUUUUCACU